rnacentral:rRNA from 1 species
AUACGUAGGUGGCGAGCGUUGUCCGGAAUUACUGGGUGUAAAGGGCGUGUAGACGGGUAUGCAAGUCAGAUGUGAAAUUCCAGGGCUCAACCCUGGCGCUGCAUCUGAAACUGUAUAUCUUGAGUGCUAGAGAGGAAAGCGGAAUUCCUAGUGUAGCGGUGAAAUGCGUAGAUAUUAGGAGGAACACCAGUGGCGAAGGCGGCUUUCUGGACAGUAACUGACGUUGAGGCGCGAAAGCGUGGGGAGCAAACAGGAUUAGAUACCCUGGUAGUCCACGCCGUAAACGAUGGAUACUAGGUGUAGGAGGUAUCGACCCCUUCUGUGCCGGAGUUAACACAAUAAGUAUCCCACCUGGGGAGUACGGCCGCAAGGUUGAA